rnacentral:rRNA from 1 species
GACGAACGCUGGCGGCGUGCCUAAUACAUGCAAGUAGAACGCACAGUUUAUACCGUAGCUUGCUACACCAUAGACUGUGAGUUGCGAACGGGUGAGUAACGCGUAGGUAACCUGCCUGGUAGCGGGGGAUAACUAUUGGAAACGAUAGCUAAUACCGCAUAAUAUUAAUUAUUGCAUGAUAAUUAAUUGAAAGGUGCAAUUGCACCACUACCAGAUGGACCUGCGUUGUAUUAGCUAGUAGGUGAGGUAACGGCUCACCUAGGCGACGAUACAUAGCCGACCUGAGAGGGUGAUCGGCCACACUGGGACUGAGACACGGCCCAGACUCCUACGGGAGGCAGCAGUAGGGAAUCUUCGGCAAUGGACGAAAGUCUGACCGAGCAGCGCCGCGUGAGUGAAGAAGGUUUUCGGAUCGUAAAGCUCUGUUGUAAGAGAAGAACGGGUGUGAGAGUGGAAAGUUCACACUGUGACGGUAUCUUACCAGAAGGGGACGGCUAACUACGUG